AUGGCGGAUCCUCCUCCUCCCGACCGCUGCAUCCUAAUUCCAGACGAGAUCGCCAUCUGGGAGAUCCUCGUCCGCCUGCCCCCCAAAUCUCUCAUCCGCUGUCGUGCCGUCUGCCCCGCGUGGCGCCGUGCCACCUCCACCCGCGACUUCCUCCUCGCGCACCAUGCCCGCCAGCCCACCCUCCCCAUCCUCUGCAGCUUAGAAGACAACGACGACGAUGACACGUCUCUGUACAUCACCCCCUUCGACCACCGGACAUCCGGCAAGCUCCAGCCCUUGGCGCGACUUGACGCCGCCUCGGACAUCUGUCUAAGACUAAGUGCCUCCUGUGAUGGCCUCCUCGUCCUCUCCUUCCGCAACAUGAGCUCCUUUGGCUGCCAAUUCUCCAUUUGCAACCCUGCCACUCGUCAGUAUGCUCCCCUCCCGCUGGAUUAUGGCCCUACCGUCGAGUACACAAUCUUUGGGAUCUACCCGCAUAUCCCUACCGGCGAGUACCGGCUAUUGCUUCACAGGCUCCACAUGUUGAGGUGUGAUGGCUGCUACGUCUUCUCGUUAGGCUCCGGCCAGCAGCUGAGGUACGUAGGCAGGCCCGAUCUGUGGAAACUCACAGGCUCCCCCAGAUCUGUCUUGUUCCGUGGUAGCCUGCAUUGGCACUCAUCAGGCAUCAUGGUGAUGGUAUUCGACACCACAUCUGAGUCGUUCUUGCGGAUGCGUUCUCCAGUUUUCCCUGGCUAUGCUGACCUAUAUGAUAUUGGUGACAUGCUUGGGCUAUGCAGUCAUGACAAUGAGUGGACAAGUGUUAGUAUCUGGGCACUGCAGGAUUAUGAAGGCGAGGUCUGGACCUUAAAAUACCGUGUUAAAUUACCGGUUGCAGAAAUCUGGGUCCAUGAUAAGCUCGACAGCGAUUGGGAUGUGGUGGUCGGUUCUUGGGAUGGUGAUGUGGUCCUGCUGGUUACCGUUGAUGGCGGCAACAUGCUAUUUCAGGUUGACAUCAAUGGCAAGUUGGUUGCGACUAUCUGCUGUUGCAGAGACCUCUACUCAGCUCAUCUUUGGCUCAAACAAACUCUAGUUUUGCAUACCUUCUUUCCGACACUUGAGGGGUAUGCAGUGAAUGCUUUGCCAUUUAUCUGA
rnacentral:rRNA from 1 species